rnacentral:snoRNA from 1 species
GCAUGGUAGUGGAUUUAUGGUGGGCCCUUGUGUGUGGGCCUCUCAUCGUGUACCCCAUGCCAGGGUAACGGUGGCCUCUAACCAUUGCCCAGCUUCACUGCCUGUGGACUGUGAGCACUGAAGAAGGUUGCACAGCU